rnacentral:lncRNA from 7 species
UGGCCUUCCAGGCUGCAAGUAAUCGUUACUUGAUUAUCAUCCCAAACUUAUUCACUUGCUUACCAUUCUAUACUAUCUUGCACCAAAUUUGAAUUAGAUACCUAACAAAGUUCACACAGGAAUUUACCUACCUGAAUAAAGCGGUCUUUCCCACAGAAAUAAGCUCACCACAUGGCAAAAGAAUGCAGCUGCAUUAACACACCUGCUGGUUCCAGUGACAGCACCCUAACAGACUGUCAUUGUUUCCAGCUUACUGGUUGACCCUCUGCUCUUUCCAUCUUGUGUCCCAGCACAUCAUGACAAUGUCACUGACUCAGGAAACCCAGAGGGCUUGGUUCAUCAAUACUUCCCUUGAUUUCCUAAAUGAAACUCUGAAGUCCUUCCCAUUUUUCCCUUACUGCAAGAUUUCUUUUCCCAGUUUGCAAAGCCAGGGUAGAAAAGUUAAUCAGGUGUGAGUAUUGCUUCCAAACACUCUUGUGAGAAUGCUGUGGCAGCCAGGUGGGAGUGUAAAUACCUGGAUUAACCAAAACCUGGUAAAACCAUGCCACGUUUAUCCUCACUGUAACACCUUUACAGUACACUCUCUUGUCUGGGUAGCCAAAUGUGGCAGAAUAACAGUUUAUACAGAAGAAAUUCAGGAUUACUAUCAUUGAUGUCUCCGACAGAAAAAAAUUUAUCACAGUUACAGGUCAGUAUGGCCUGAGAGACUCCUCUAACUUAUAUAAGACUGUCAUAUGGGCAAAUAGCCCUAUAUAUGUUGUAAGACAGGGGAAAAAACACUACUAUAUGAUCUAUUUUAAUCAAUUACUUGUUUAAGCAAUUAUUACCUCUUUUCAUCUUUUUUUUUUCCUCAUCAUCCAGAACGUAGAAGGAAAUUCCCCCUCUCUCACUACACCAAUGGAAGAGAUCAUUUAAAAAAUGUGCUGCCACAGUUUGAAAAACAUGCCUUUCAACAACAAAUUUCUUAGGGCAUAAUUCCACUCCCAGUGAAGCCAAGUACAAAAUUACCAGCGCCAUCAAGAACAGUAAAGGGCUGACAUUCAGUUCACGUGUAUGAAAUUUCCAACACUGUCACAGCACUGUUUUGAUCUUUCAGAAAGUCAGCUUUUACAGCUGUGAGGAAAAAAGAACACAGCCUUUGUUAUUCUUAACUCGCCCAAAAUUGCUACCUGAUUUGUAAAUGUGGGACGUAGAGCUCUCACUUUUAUUUCAUCCCUAAAACAUGUAAGUCGUUAAAGAAGUACGUACAAAACUUCCCAGUCUGAACAACUGGUUCACUGUGGAAGUGAGAUGAGAACAUCAUUUAAGAAUUCUACAUCACCUUCUGAGGUUGUAAUAAACUUUCUUACAUAGACGUAAACAAGCAAGAUCAAGUACAGAGCUAGAAAAAUAACUUAUCUGUUGCUAAUGCAAUCAAGGAAACUGCAGUUGCAAAUAAGACAACACACAUAGGAGAGAGAAUUUCAGAAUGGAGAAUGGAUCAGAACAGAGCCACCAGCUAAAUUAUAGCUUUCACAUUCUGUUAUGAAGUCCAUUGAAGUUUUGGUCACAAGAGAACUGACCUCAUGAGAACUGGUUAAAGGAGUUCAUGAGUUGAUCCUUACUGCAUCAACUUUACUGGCAUCAAAACAAAGAAUGUUUAAGUAAAUAUGGCACAGCAUUCCAUUUCAAACACAGACAUUUUCAACUGUACAAGAAGGAGUUUUCUUUAUAGCCUGAAGGAGGUUCCAGUAACUCAUCAGGAUCCAAACUUGGACUCUGGAGUUAGACAACUACAGCUACAGUGAUAAUAUACUAAAAUUGUCCACAUUAAUUGCAACAGAAUUUUGUCCUUAGGAGUCAUAAAUUUAUAUUGCAUUGCAAAAAGUGAUAGAGCAGAAACUAAGGUUUUGGCAUCUGCAAAGGAACAGUUUCAGCCUUAAGCAUUUGUGAAGACACAGAGAUGCUUUGAUUUUUUAAUUCUGCUAAAACGAAUUCAAUCAUUUCUCUUCUGUUAACAAUGCUCUGAUUUUUCCAUCUACUCUGCGGAGGACAUUUGAAGUUUAGAAGAUGUCCAUAUGCCUGGAGAGCAUAUGGAUAGAGUUAUCCUUGCAGAAGAAGUUACUUUAAACAUCGCAACUGCAAAUAUACAUCACCAGCUGUGAUUCUACCACAGCUGAGACUUUAUCUUGACCAAGAAGAGUUAUACUUCCUGUCAUAUAAAUAGCUAUCUCUUG